ACGAAAUCCCUUUUUUCGCAUUGCAAAAUUGAACAGCGACUUUCUGAGUUCGUACGUUCGGGGGUUAUUUUGACCUCGAAAAGUCUUGACAUCGCCGCGGCGGUGGGCCAUUCCGCUGACCAUUCAUUGUCUUGCCAAGGUUCACGGUUUUAAGAUACUCUCAACAAUUCAUAAUCUCAGCAACGAGGAAAAAAAGUUACGAAUCCUUAAAGCGGGCGGAGAGGUCGUUGAGUUGCCUAAUGGGAUUUUGCGAGUUAACGGACAGCUCACGUUAACACGAACCUUGGGCUGCACGUGUUUUCGCAAGUUUGGAGUCCUUACUAAUUGCGAUACUUCAGAAAAUUUACUUUCAAAGGACGACGCUUUCCUGCUACUGGCUACGGAUGGUUUAUAGGAAGUUUUUAACGAAGAUGAGGUUGUAGAGAUUAUUAAACGUAUUGACAGUCCCAGCGAAGCCGCUCAGCAACUUCAGCUCGAGUGCGAAUUGGCAGGAGGAGAAAACAAUUGCACGAUUAUUAUAAAGAAACUUUCAAGAUGGCAAGAUUUUAUGGGAAAAUCGAAUUCCGAAUUUCAGAAGCCGCCACCAGUGAAAAAUCGCCUGGUGUGAUUUAAAAAAUAAAU